GAUGCAGUUUCAAGAAAUCCAAGAUAACAUAAGGAGCAGUUAACAAAAUUUUCCUCCUCAUGGAAGAAGUGAGUUUUCUCAAGUUCUAACGUACUAGAAUAAUAGUUGAAGGACUAACUUAUUAAUUUCCUAAAGGUUGUACUGUCAAAUAGCUUCUUAAUUUUCGGAAUAAUUUUCAGGUAUGUAGGCUAAGAAUACAACAAAGGUUAAAGAACUCGAACACAAGAGUUGAGACUCGUGAAGAUGAAUAUGAGAUGCCGUAUAUCCCUUCAACAAUACCGUUUCUUCCUAACAUGUGUUUGGUAGGUUGGGAAAAGUCAGAAAAUGAGGUUGCAGUUCUAAAGCAGCAACUUGAGGCAGCUGAGCAGCAGAACUUGACUUUGGAUGUUCGCGUCAACCAUCUUGAUGUUUGCGAGGGGUGAAGUAGUCUAAUGUUGUAGACUAACUUAAUGUAGACUAGUUUAAUGUUUUGUGGAUGUUUACAAAUGUUGAAGUAGUUUAAUGUUGUUUUGAUGUUUGCAAAAGUUGAAAUAGCUUAAGUCUCUUGUGAAUGUUUGAUUGAUGUUUUUAUUCAACUUUGAAGUAGUUUCAAAUUGAAUUUGAUGUAUUGGUGGUUGUAGU